GAUGAACGCUGGCGACGUGCCUAAUACAUGCAAGUCGAGCGAACAGAUAAGGAGCUUGCUCCUUUGACGUUAGCGGCGGACGGGUGAGUAACACGUGGGUAACCUACCUAUAAGACUGGAAUAACUCCGGGAAACCGGGGCUAAUGCCGGAUAACAUUUAGAACCGCAUGGUUCUAAAGUGAAAGAUGGUUUUGCUAUCACUUAUAGAUGGACCCGCGCCGUAUUAGCUAGUUGGUAAGGUAACGGCUUACCAAGGCAACGAUACGUAGCCGACCUGAGAGGGUGAUCGGCCACACUGGAACUGAGACACGGUCCAGACUCCUACGGGAGGCAGCAGUAGGGAAUCUUCCGCAAUGGGCGAAAGCCUAACGGAGCAACGCCGCGUGAGUGAUGAAGGUCUUCGGAUCGUAAAACUCUGUUAUUAGGGAAGAACAAAUGUGUAAGUAACUGUGCACGUCUUGACGGUACCUAAUCAGAAAGCCACGGCUAACUACGUG
rnacentral:rRNA from 1 species